rnacentral:tRNA from 1 species
CGGGGCAUAGUGUAAUGGCCAACAUGCGCCCAUGGGGUGGGUGUGAUUCUGGGUUCGAGUCCCAGUGCCCCGACCA